UCAGACCCACUUGAUACCAUCCAACUGUCCACGUUACAUCAACCAUACUACAAUCAAAUCAACGGUUCACAACAAAUGUUCUGUCGGCAGACUCCCCCAUUCAGGAUGCUACACAGCCCCACGAUGACACCCCCUGGGAAUUAAACAUCACCUCCACGAUCUACGCUGCCACCACGCCAGGAACCGCCGCGAUCAACGCUGGUGUAUGCGAUGUCCUCGACCCAGUAGACAUCCUCGACCCGCCUUGCUCCCCUACCUCUCCUCGCCCCUCCGCCGUCGCCACGCCGCCCUAGCCCCUGGUGGCCGCAUUGUCCUCCGCCCCGGUGCAUGUCAUUCCUCGACCCGCCUUGCUACCCAACCUUUCCUCGCCCCGCCGUCAUCGCCACACCAUUGUCGUCCCUGGUGGCCGCGACGUCCUCCACCCGAUGGUCGUCCUCGACCACGGCGUGCUGCCCUACCUGCGGUGUCAUCACCCCGUGUGGCCCGCAGCAUCUCGAGGACAUAUGACUACUUUCUGACGUGCCAACGCAUAGGUUAGAUCAUUUGAAUUCGCAAGUAUAGAUGAUUAGGCAGAAGACAAAAGGAAAUUGCUCUUUUAAUCUGACAAUUAUAAUUUGUACCGUGAAAUUUGAUACUUACAGUACAUCAUGAUCUGCAUGACAAACUGAGUUGACAAUAUGGCAUCCUUUGAGCAUAGUGGGGCGCGUACUCCCUUUCAGGACCUGACAAACAACGACAAUUCAGGUAAAUACAUAUAUCAUGUACUCUUACGUACUUCAAUCUUGUAAAUCCAAAAUAUAUCGUUGCCUCGCAGGUCAAAAAACAGAUCCAAAAGAACUAAAGAGACAG
rnacentral:lncRNA from 1 species